CGACCGCUGGCGGCGUGCUUAACACAUGCAAGUCGACCGGAAAGGCCCUGCUUUUGUGGGGUGCUCGAGUGGCGAACGGGUGAGUAACACGUGAGUAACCUGCCCUUGACUUUGGGAUAACUUCAGGAAACUGGGGCUAAUACCGGAUAGGAGCUCCUGCUGCAUGGUGGGGGUUGGAAAGUUUCGGCGGUUGGGGAUGGACUCGCGGCUUAUCAGCUUGUUGGUGGGGUAGUGGCUUACCAAGGCUUUGACGGGUAGCCGGCCUGAGAGGGUGACCGGCCACAUUGGGACUGAGAUACGGCCCAGACUCCUACGGGAGGCAGCAGUGGGGAAUACUGCACAAUGGGCGGAAGCCUGAUGCAGCAACGCCGCGUGCGGGAUGACGGCCUUCGGGUUGUAAACCGCUUUCGCCUGUGACGAAGCGUGAGUGACGGUAAUGGGUAAAGAAGCACCGGCUAACUACGUG
rnacentral:rRNA from 1 species